AAUUGGUUUAUAAUUUUAUUCGAGUUUAUUAAUAAAUUGUAUUGUUGCUUGAUUAUAAUGAAAGUGGAGUGAGCUCAGAUUUGUAGCUUUUCGAAGUGGACUGUAUGCGUGAUUCUGGUAUUGAUGAAUACUCAGCGUGAUGAUAAGCACAGCGACAGAUCUGAUGGUGCAGAGCGAUGGAUUGUAGUCUCGUACAAGCUCCUUUGAAUCUCGUGCGUUCUCGUACUGACUCGUUCAAUGCUCGUAAUUUUUCGUUCAAUUCUCGUAAUUUCUCGUUCGCAGUGAUUAAGCAGCAGCUGUUGGGAAUAAUAUGUCGUUAAUGGCUUGCUCGGAUGUUAGAAAGGUAGCUGCAGAUAAGCUUAGGAGUCAGAAGAUAACGUUACAGGUUUCGCGAGCCAUGAACUGGCGUUGCGAGAAGCUCAAGCCGGAUCAUCAGGUCAGAAAUAGAGUAGACAGGUACGAGAGUGCAAGAAUAUCUCGAGAUGCUUAUCUCGACCAGUCAGAUCAUGAUGCGACCGAAUAAGUUAAGGAGCUGAUGUUGUUUGCUAGGGCAUCUGACGGAUCACAAGGUAUCGAUCCCCAAUUCCUUUUAAUAGGACAUGGACAAACGAUCGUAGAAAAUCAAGGGAAACAAAUAAUUCAAUUGAAUAAUUUCAUAAAAAAACUUUUAUUUAUUGAGCAAUAAUUAUUGGAAUUCACACCAUUGACAAUAUUAAUUAAUAAUUAAUAAUUAACAAUACAUCUCUGGCAAGAUUCAUGUUAUUAAAUACAAAUAAACAUAAACAAUAGUGUAAAAGAUACAACAAGAAAAAGAAAUAUUAACUAUCACAAUCGAGAGUUUCAAAUUCCGCACACUUUGGGCCAUACAUAUAUAUAUGUGUGUAUACCCAAUGUUUCUGGUAUGUUGUUGAUAAUUAUUAUUUCGAAAUUCAAGAAAUAUCAAUUUAUCUGUAUAAUAUAAAGUGUAUGUGCGAGAAAUAGCCGACAAAGUUAUUUAUUGACAAAACUACUCAUUAUUAAUUCUCAAGUUUAUUCUCAUUAAAAAUGAAAAAAACGAGCAUAUUUUAUUACUCAUUACAAUAAUAAAUAUUUGGCCAAUGUCGCGGAAUUAUUUUUAAAAAUAUUUAUAAAAUUAAAUAUUCCCUAUAAGUUGUAUUUAUGAGUACAUGAUAUACCGAUAAAAAAUGAAUUAUUUAGAUCUCACAUAACGGAUAACAUCUGACAAUAAUAUUUAUAUGAAUGAAUAAUAUUAAGUUGCUUCAUUAUCCUUGACUAAAAAAAAAAAAAAUACAUAUAUAUAAACGGCAAGAUUUAUUGUCACUUAACAUGUAGCUUUUUCUUAUUUAACGGAACUAAAAGUUGAUACAAAAGUCUGCUUUUAAUAUGAUUCAAAAAUUUAUAACUGACAGUU